rnacentral:rRNA from 1 species
UACAGAGGUCCCAAGCGUUGUUCGGAUUCAUUGGGCGUAAAGGGUGCGUAGGUGGUGAGGUAAGUCGGAUGUGAAAUCUCCAAGCUCAACUUGGAAACUGCAUUGGAAACUACCUUGCUAGAGGAUUUGAGGGGGGAUUGGAAUACUUGGUGUAGCAGUGAAAUGCGUAGAUAUCAAGUGGAACACCAGUGGCGAAGGCGAAUCCCUGGAAAAUACCUGACACUGAGGCACGAAAGCUAGGGGAGCAAACAGG